GACGAACGCUGGCGGCGUGCUUAACACGUGCAAGUCGAACGGAAAGGCCCCCACCUUGGUGGGGGUGCUCGAGUGGCGAACGGGUGAGUAACACGUGGGUGAUCUGCCCUGUACUUCGGGAUAAGCUUGGGAAACUGGGUCUAAUACCGGAUAGGACCAUGGUUUAGUGUCUCAUGGUGGAAAAAUUAUUGUUUUGGUGCAGGAUGAGCUCGCGGCCUAUCAGCUUGUUGGUGGGGUAAUGGCCUACCAAGGCGUCGACGGGUAGCCGGCCUGAGAGGGUGGACGGCCACAUUGGGACUGAGAUACGGCCCAGACUCCUACGGGAGGCAGCAGUGGGGAAUAUUGCACAAUGGGCGCAAGCCUGAUGCAGCGACGCCGCGUGGGGGAUGACGGCCUUCGGGUUGUAAACUCCUUUCGUUAGGGACGAAGCCACACCUUUUUUGGGUGUGGUGACGGUACCUUUGUUAAGAAGCACCGGCUAACUACGUG
rnacentral:rRNA from 1 species